rnacentral:rRNA from 1 species
GACGAACGCUGGCGGCGUGCUUAACACAUGCAAGUCGAACGGGCCUUGUCCCCUUUUUUUUUGGGGGUGAGGUUAGUGGCGAACGGGUGAGUAACACGUGAGUAACCUGCCCCUCACUUCUGGAUAACCGCUUGAAAGGGUGGCUAAUACGGGGUGUUCUGGCCUGCUCGCAUGGGUGGGUUUGGAAAGAUUCGACCGGUUUUGGUUGUUUUGGUGGGGGAUGGGCUCGCGGCCUAUCAGCUUGUUGGUGGGGUGAUGGCCUGCCAAGGCUUUGACGGGUAGCCGGCCUGAGAGGGUGGGCGGUCACACUGGGACUGAGACACGGCCCAGACUCCUACGGGAGGCAGCAGUGGGGAAUAUUGCACAAUGGGCGCAAGCCUGAUGCAGCGACGCCGCGUGAGGGAUGGAGGCCUUCGGGUUGUGAACCUCUUUCGCCAGUGAAGAAGGUCCUGCUCUUUGUGGUGGGGUUGACGGUAGCUGGGUUAAUGAAGCGCCGGCUAACUACGUG